CCCUACGGGGCGCAGCAGGCGCGAAAACUUCGCAAUGCGGGAAACCGUGACGAGGGAAUUCCGAGUGCUCAUACAAUGUAUGGGCUUUUCUUAUGUGUAAAAAGCAUGAGGAAUAAGGGCUGGGUAAGACCGGUGCCAGCCGCCGCGGUAAUACCGGCAGCUCUAGUGGUAGCCACUUUUAUUGGGCCUAAAGCGUCCGUAGCCGGUCAGGUAAAUCCUUGGGUAAAUCGUACAGCUUAACUGUGCGGCUUCCGAGGAGACUGCUUGUCUUGGGACCGGGAGAGGUUGGAGGUACUCCUGGGGUAGGGGUGAAAUCCUGUAAUCCUAGGUGGACCACCGGUGGCGAAGGCGUCCAACCAGAACGGCUCCGACGGUGAGGGACGAAGGCUAGGGGCGCAAACCGGAUUAGAUACCCGGGUAGUCCUAGCAGUAAACGCUGCAGACUUGGUGUUGGAGAUCCCACGAGGGUGUCCAGUGCCGGAGAGAAGUUGAUAAGUUUGCCGCCUGGGAAGUAUGGCCGCAAGGCUGAAACUUAAAGGAAUUGGCGGGGGAGCAC
rnacentral:rRNA from 1 species